GUUUCCAAACUUUAUUUUAUGCCUUAUACUAAAGAUUUUACACGUAUUACAUCCAUAGAUGUUAUAAAAUCUAAAUACAAUGUUAGUACUUUUGCUUAAAAGAUGUGUAUUUUAAAAUAAGAGGAAGUUGUAACCUUUACUUGCAUAUAUACUAUUUCAGGUCAUCAUUCUUUUCUGAAGAUCUGUGUUUAAUCUGAUAUUAUUUUCCUUUGGCCUAAAGAACUUCCUUAGCAUAUUUUUGGGGGCAGAUGUGUUCGAGUUGAAUUAUCUUGUCUUUUAUUUGAAACUGUUUUUACUUCAUUGGAUAUAAAAUUCUGGUUUGAUGGUUGGUUUUUCCUUUCUUUCAGCGCUUAAAAGAUGUUACUUUACUGUCACCUGGCCUCCAUCAUUUCUGAUGGGGUCAACAGUAAUUCAUAUGGUGCUCCUCCUGUAGCUAAUGUGUUAUUUUUCUCUGCUGUCAAAAUUUCCUCUUUAUCUUUGACUUCAGCACAUUUGCUCAUAAUGUCCCUCAGCGUGGUUUUCAUUGUUUUUAUCCUGCUUGGAUUCCACUGAAUUUUUUGAAUCUGCAAUUUUAUGCUUUCACCAAAUUGAGAAAAUGUUGGCCAUUAUUUCUUUAUGUUUUUUUUUUCCCCCUCUGGCCACACUCUGGUUCUUUCCACUAACUUUCUUUCAUAUCUUAUGCAGAGUUUAUAUUUGUUAUCUGUAGGAGAAUUGGUCCAGAUUGUCCCAGUGGAAGAUGCCAGAGAGUCCGGAGGGUAGACCAAGAUGUUGAGGUAGGAGAAUGUGACUUUUCCCAGCCCAAAUGCUUUCUGCAGUUCUCCAAUAACAAACAGUAUACAAUCCUCUGUAGUUCAUAUAUCCCCGGGAAUCUGAGCAUCUCUGACUUAGAAAUGAAUGACACUCACCAGGCAUCCACACUGCAACGACGGGAGGGGAAGUUGGCUGACACGAAAUACAGAAGCAUGUUAAGAAUUUGCUCAAUAUUCAGGAUUUUGAACCCAACAAUAGCAGUUUAUUUAAAUUACUUAUGGCAACCAACAGUUUUGACAUUGCAAGUCAUUAAAAAUUGGGCUGAAGAAGAAUGCUUCAUGAUAUGGAAAGAUAUUCACGAUAUAUAAUAGAGAAAAAUGUUUAAAAAAUCAUGUACCAUAUAAUCUCGUUUUUCUAAAUUAUUUAUUUAGGUAUAGAAAUCUCAACCUGGGUGUGAAAGAAAAAUACGUAUUAAAGUUCAAACAAAAAUGUUAAUAGUGUUGGCAGCAGUUCUGAGUUGUGGGAUUAUGGGUGAUUUUCCUUCUCUCCUUUUUGACUCCUUUACUUUUCGACAAUAAAUAUUCUAAUUUUCUCUACUCUCUAAUCCUCUUCCCGGCUUUAUAUUUCUCCAUAGCCCUUUUCACCAUCCGAUAUACUAUUUAUUUUACUCAUUCGUUUGUGGUCUGUCUCCAUCCACUUGAAAGUAAGAUCUAAGAGGCGGGGAAUUUUGUCUGGUUUUUCCUCUGCCGUAUUCCCCUGAAUAGGUUUUCCUUAUUUGCUUCAACUUCGAAUGCAGGUGCUAAUUCUGCAGUUUUCUUAGUCCCCCAUACCAGGGACCACUUCCACUCUGGUCAGCGGCAGACCGGGCUUCAAUCCCAGCAGUCUGGUUCCAAAGACGUCGUCUUUCACCGUCUCUGAACACUAAUAAUAAUAACAUUCCCAUUUUGCAGCUGAGAAAUUGACUAAUUUGCUGUAGUCGCAGCGGUGAUUGAACACAGUCUGGGUUCCCAGUCGCUGUUCUUCCUGUGACAAAACUUAGCACGGAAAGAAAACCACACUCCACAGACAGGCUCAGAGGGCCGAGCGACACCGCGGUCACCAGGACACACACAGCGUCACAAAGCCGCGCACAGGAGCGCACCACGGGCUCGGCCGCUGCGAGCUCCUCGCUGGGACACUCCGGG
ensembl:lncRNA